rnacentral:lncRNA from 1 species
UGCUCUCUCUUAUAAAACAUUACAAGCCCUUCAGAAGCAAUGACAGAGGAACGGAGUUUUAGAAUGAUUUAUUUUAGAGCAAUA